GUAAUGCGUAGGAAGCUGCCCGAUAGAGGGGGAUACCAGUUGGAAACGACUGUUAAUACCGCAUAAUGUCUACGGACCAAAGUGUGGGACCUUCGGGCCACAUGCUAUCGGAUGCGCCUACGUGGGAUUAGCUAGUUGGUGAGGUAAUGGCUCACCAAGGCGACGAUCUCUAGCUGGUUUGAGAGGAUGAUCAGCCACACUGGAACUGAGACACGGUCCAGACUCCUACGGGAGGCAGCAGUGGGGAAUAUUGGACAAUGGGCGCAAGCCUGAUCCAGCCAUGCCGCGUGUGUGAAGAAGGCCUUCGGGUUGUAAAGCACUUUCAGCGAGGAGGAAGGGAUGUAUGUUAAUAGCAUGCAUUUUUGACGUUACUCGCAGAAGAAGCACCGGCUAACUCUGUGCCAGCAGCCGCGGUAAUACAGAGGGUGCAAGCGUUAAUCGGAAUUACUGGGCGUAAAGCGCACGUAGGCGGUUUGUUAAGUUGGAUGUGAAAGCCCCGGGCUCAACCUGGGAAUUGCAUUCAAAACUGGCCAACUAGAGUAUGUGAGAGGGGGGUAGAAUUCCAAGUGUAGCGGUGAAAUGCGUAGAGAUUUGGAGGAAUACCAGUGGCGAAGGCGGCCCCCUGGCACAAUACUGACGCUGAGGUG
rnacentral:rRNA from 1 species